UGUCUACUGUUGGUACCGGGUGUAAGCUGACACGGUCCUUGCACUCAAAGGGGCUGGCCAGGCUGGCCCCCUACCCACACAGUUUUCCCAGACUUGUUUGGAUGGCGACUAUCAGUAGAAUGAGAGCAACUUUUGUAGAAUGAGAGCAACCUUUCAUGGCUUGCCAAGAAGUCUGUAACUAUUUACUGAGAUUGUCUGUGCUGAGAAUUUGUCCUUAUGCUCUAUCUCUCCCUUAGAGAUUAAGAGGAACAAAGAA